UACGGAGGGGGCUAGCGUUGUUCGGAAUUACUGGGCGUAAAGCGCACGUAGGCGGCUUUGCAAGUCAGAGGUGAAAGCCCGGGGCUCAACCCCGGAAUUGCCUUUGAGACUGCAUCGCUAGAAUUGUGGAGAGGUAAGUGGAAUUCCGAGUGUAGAGGUGAAAUUCGUAGAUAUUCGGAAGAACACCAGUGGCGAAGGCGACUUACUGGACACAUAUUGACGCUGAGGUGGCGAAAGCGUGGGAGCAAACAGG
rnacentral:rRNA from 1 species